GCUAGAUGUCACUGCUCUGUUCCACUUUGUACAUCUAACAAACAACACCAACCCUACUUAAGUUUUCAUGGAUUCCCGACUGAAUUGAGUCUAAGGAAGAAGUGGAUUCAAGCGGUUCGCCGGGAUGAAGGGCCAAACUUCAAAAUAAAACAAGGUAGCACGUUUGUUUGUAGCCGGCACUUUAGUGAAUCAGACUACAAACGCUACAGCUAGCAACCAACCGGGGUCACAACAAGCAACUGAAAAUCGGGUCUGUACCCUCCCGUUUCCAGUGGAACAACUGGGGACUGCCAAGAAGGGGGUCUGUUUAUAAAAGAGCAUCAACUCGCUUAGGCCAUGACGUUCACUCAGCCCUUCCUCUGGAGCAACCGCUGCCCUGUGAAUAAGAGCCGAUGGAGGAGAUCGCAGCUUCGGUGGUGAUGACAGAACAUGAUUUCGGUUCUGCUCCUAAACCAGGUGCACUGGAUGCUGCUGCUGUACACAUACAGCAAUUGGAAGAAACAGUCAAGGAGCUGAUGAAAGCAGUCACAGCUGAAAGUGGUUCAAGUGCCUUUUCACAGAUUUUGUGUCUCAGACGAGGACAUCCUUUUUUACACCAGAUUCACGUCAAGAGAUAUUUUUUGUGACUUCUGGGAGGUUAUUCAACCAUCUGCCUCCAUGUUGGUUUAUUGGUCGAAAGCUCAGAAAAAGAAACAAACAUUUGAACCCAUUUCUCCCAGUCCAACGUGUAGACUGCAACUGGUUGAGUUUUUUCUCUUCUGCUGCCGGGUUGCUGCAGGCCUGCAAGAGAAGGUGCUGGCUGACAUGUUUCAGUGCUGUGACUUUUGUGUCAAGUCUCUUCACCGGCUCCAUCUCCGACCCAGAGCUGACUGAACGAAGUGGACUGCUGGAUUUACUGGAGCCAGGAGAUGGCUGCAUGGCAGUCAAGGGUUUCACCAUCGAGAAGCCACUAGCUGAUCGUGGGGCAACGUUGAUUAUACCACCCUUCAAGAUGACAGAGGAUGCUCUGAAAACACAAGCAAUCGCUCG
ensembl:lncRNA